rnacentral:misc_RNA from 1 species
AAGUCGUAACAAGGUCUCCGUUGGUGAACCAGCGGAGGGAUCAUUACCGAGUUUACAACUCCCAAACCCAAUGUGAACGUUACCAAACUGUUGCCUCGGCGGGAUUCUCAAGCCCCGGGUGCGUCGCAGCCCCGGACCAAGGCGCCCGCCGGAGGACCAACCAAAACUCUUUUUGUAUACCCCCUCGCGGGUUUUUUUAUAAUCUGAGCCUUCUCGGCGCCUCUCGUAGGCGUUUCGAAAAUGAAUCAAAACUUUCAACAACGGAUCUCUUGGUUCUG